AAUCUAAACCUGCCCUGUCACAAUUUAAAUAAUUUCCUCUUGUCCUGUCUCUUGUUACCUGGCAUAAGACACCAGUCCUCACCUGGCCUCACCCUCCUUUUAAGCAUUUUUGAGAGUAUUAAGACCUUCUCUGAGUCUCCUUUUCUCCAGGCUAAACAACCCCCAGCUACCACAACCACUCCUCAUGGGACUUGUGCUCCAGAGCCCUCACCAGCUUCGUUUCCCUUCUCUGGACUCACUCCAGCCCCCCAGUGUAUUUCUUGUAGUAGGGGCCCAGAACUGGACACAGCACUCCAGGUGUGGCUCCAGCAGUGCCCAGUAUAGCAGGACAAUCACUGCCCUGGCCCUGGGGCCACACUAGUGCUGAUACAGGCCAGGUGCCAUUCUUGGCCACCUGGGCACACACUUCUCAUAUUCAGCCAUGAUCAGCCACCACCUCCAGGUCCUUUUCCUCUGGGCAGCUUUCUCAGCCUGUAGUAUUCCAGGGAGUUGUUGUGACCUAAGGGCAGGACCCAGCUCUUGGCUUUGUUCAACCUCAUGUAAUUGCGCCCAUCAAUCCAGCCUGUCCAGAUCCUUCUGUAGAGACAUCCUGCCCUCCAGCAGAUCAAUACUUGUGCCCACCUUGAUUUCAACUGCAAAUUGACAGAGGAUGCCCUUGAUCACCUCAUCCAGAUCAUUGGUAAAGAUAUUAAACUGGGCUUGACCCAACAUUGAGCUCCGGGGAACACCACUUGUCACUGGAUACCAGGUGGAUGCAACUCCAUUCACAUCCACUCUGGGCUCAGCCAAACACAGGUGGUAAACACAGGCAGGCACCUGCUUAUACCAGGGGCACUUAUAUGAAUUAUCUCACUGACUUCAGCACACAUAAGUAAAGGUACUCUGCUGCAGAAGAACCCUCAUUGAGAGCAAAGGUGCAAUUUCAUCCUUGCUGAUAUUUGAAAAAGCUACAAAUUCAUCAGGCUUGAAAUAAGAUUGUAUUCUGAAGUAUUUUUAAGCACCUGUGUAGUAGAAAGUCUGUCAGCCUUUUCAACAUGAAAUUAUUAACACUUGAUAAGAUCUAGGAGCUCACACAGUGUACACAGUGUCAAAAUUACAUGGCUGGCUAGUUGUUUUUUGGUCUGUUUUGGUAUUUUCCAUUCUGAGUUGCUCCAAAAGCAGUUGUCUUUCUAUAAAAGAAGAAUGGAGAAAUUUAAUUUCUUUCAUUAUGACAGACAAACUAAUCCUCAGAAUGUAUUAUUAUGUUUAAAAAAUAUUUGAUAACCAUUGUGCUGUAGCUUAAAUGAAUCCUGUGCUAUACAUUGGUUUUGACUGUGCAAUUCUCUUUUGUUUAGUAUUUUUAAUUAUUUUAAAAAGCAUGGGUUUUUUUUUUCUCUCUCUCUCCUUGAGAUAUAAUUUGGUAUCUGAAAAACUUGAACACUAGGUGAUCUCAAAGUGACAUCUCCUUGGCUGCUGGCAGCUCUCCUCUAGGUGGUCAUCUCCACUCCUGCACUAUGUCCUGUUGCUGCCCAGUGUCCAAAGUGUCCUUGAGCCUUAGCUCUAGUAAUGCUGAGGCUAUGGAGAGGCAACACCAAAUGUACAGAAUCUUAACACCUGACCAAUGUGCAGCAUUUAGGUCCAAUAAACACACUCCAGUCAGCACUAAUAACAUCACUCACAGCAACCACCAGUAGGGAUCUUGGGCAGGUUCUGUUGGAAGACAUGUAGUUCCAGGGAAAUAGCAUAGCACAAGUCCUGCUCCUUUUUGUCAUCUUCAGUCCUGAUACUGGCUGCACUGGAGACAGUCCCAAUAGGGGAUGAUCAACUGAGACCUUACCAAUCUUCUUCCUGGCUGGGUACUGAGGAGAUUUCUUUUUCCCAUUCCUUUCCUUUCUCUCUUCUGGUUUCUUUAUUUUUUCUUUUUUUUUUCCCAAGACCCGAUUUGUACCUUUAAAAUCAACAUAUUCCAUCAGCUUCAGAUGUUCUUAAUCAAUCAGUGUGCAGAUGGACCAGCCUCAGCAUCCUCUGUGCAGCUAUUUCUCCCACUGUCUGUCUUUGAUGGCAAACAUAAGUGAAUGCCAAGAGAAGAGUGUUACAACAGGCUGUAAAGUCCCAGUCAUGUAAGGCUAGAGGUUCAUGGCUCAUGGAAGAAAGAGAGGAGUGGAAGACUUCUGAUCAAGUCACACCAUUGACAGGCACAUUUCUGAAAGGCUGGGAAAUUCCACAAACAGAAAAAUGCUCAGUCUACCCCAGCACAAUGCAGGACCAUAAAAACCAGCAUGAUGAAUGUCAUACCACUAUGCACAGCACAGUGAAUAGCUGUACUGAGCUUUCAAGGGAGUGCACAUGGUGGGAUUUAAAUGUCCAUCAUCUGCUUUCCCAACUUAUUGAGGAACCCAGUUUAAUUUCCAAGAAUCAGGAACAAGGUAAUAGAAAUUGCACUUGAUUAGCAAAGACCUCAAUAAGCACCCUCUUCUGGCUAAAUAUUCAGUGAUUGCAAACAGUAUUCUUCCAAAUAUAUAAAUUUCUCGUGUUUGGGUUGCAAGACAACCGCGAGUUCAAGGCCACUGGUGUGAGCAUCUGCAGAUCCAAAUUUUUGAUAUGUAUCUGUAAAAGAGACAGCAUACACAGAAUUCUCAUCAGGAUGAAGAGAUCUUGCCUGGAUAGGAAUGGAAGAUUGCCCAUAUCAGAAGACUUCUACUUGCACAAAACUCCAAAUUGAAAAGUGUUUUAUAUUUUCAUGUGUAGUCACACAAAGAACUCUAAACAAGCCAGAAUCUCCAACAAGAGAGAUAGAUCUUCCCCUUGAAAAAGAAAACAGACACAGGGAAAAAUUAAUUAUAAAGACACUGUAAAGUGUAAUUUUUGUUAUGGCAUAUUGGCUGAACAAUAAAAGAUCAUUAACUUACAUCAUAAUAUCUCAUAAUUGCAUCUCAGAUAUUGUAGGUAUGGGACUUAAAUAAAAAAUGAAUUAAAAUGC